CACAACCAGCGAGGCUCCUAGAACUAGAAAAACCUCCUACUGGAAUUGUUGGCGUCUUCUUAACAAGAAAAAGCAGAGCCAUCUGCAACAAGAUGUGGACGCGGUCACAAUCCGUUCACCCUCAGUGACAGAAAUGAGUUGUUGCACAAGUGAGAAGUCUCAGGGAGGAGAGACUGGUGUCGAGUUCAGGGCCUCACCUGUUCUUGACAGUCCUGUCUCUGA